ACGGAGGAUGCGAGCGUUAUCCGGAUUUAUUGGGUUUAAAGGGUGCGUAGGCGGAUUAAUAAGUCAGUGGUGAAAACCUGCAGCUUAACUGUAGAACUGCCAUUGAUACUGUUAGUCUUGAGUACGGUCAAGGUAGGCGGAAUGUGUAAUGUAGCGGUGAAAUGCUUAGAUAUUACACAGAACACCGAUUGCGAAGGCAGCUUACUGGGCCAUUACUGACGCUGAUGCACGAAAGCGUGGGGAGCGAACAG
rnacentral:rRNA from 1 species